rnacentral:rRNA from 1 species
UACGUAGGGUGCGAGCGUUUAAUCGGAAUUACUGGGCGGUAAAGCGUGCGCAGGCGGCGCGUUAAGACAGGUGUGAAAGCCCCGAGCUUAACUUGGGAAUUGCGCUUGUGACUGGCGUGCUGGAGUGUGGCAGAGGGAGGUGGAAUUCCACGUGUAGCAGUGAAAUGCGUAGAGAUGUGGAGGAACACCGAUGGCGAAGGCAGCCUCCUGGGCCAGCACUGACGCUCAGGCACGAAAGCGUGGGGAGCAAACAGG